CGGCGGAUGGGUGAGUAACACGUGGGCAACCUGCCUGUAAGAUUGGGAUAACUCCGGGAAACCGGGGCUAAUACCGAAUAAUGCUUUUUCUCGCAUGAGAGAAAGAUGAAAGGUGGCUUUUAGCUAUCACUUACAGAUGGGCCCGCGGCGCAUUAGCUAGUUGGUGGGGUAAUGGCCUACCAAAGCAACGAUGCGUAGCCGACCUGAGAGGGUGAUCGGCCACACUGGGACUGAGACACGGCCCAGACUCCUACGGGAGGCAGCAGUAGGGAAUCUUCCGCAAUGGACGCAAGUCUGACGGAGCAACGCCGCGUGAGUGAUGAAAGUCUUCGGAUUGUAAAACUCUGUUGUUAGGGAAGAACAAGUACUGUUCAAAUAGGGCGGUACCUUGACGGUACCUAACCAGAAAGCCCCGGCUAACUACGUGCCAGCAGCCGCGGUAAUACGUAGGGGGCAAGCGUUGUCCGGAAUUAUUGGGCGUAAA
rnacentral:rRNA from 1 species